UUUUACUGUACAGGCACACAACUUCAAGCUACAAAAAUAUAAAACUAUUGAAAAAAGACAAAUAAUUUAUGUAAUGUGACACUUGUCUCAAAAGCGUACAUCUUAUAUGAGAGAUACAACUUAUUGCCUUCGUGUUUCUCAGAUACUGCCUUCGUGCCUCGUCCUCUGUGCUCCAAAUUAGUGAUGGGUCGUUCUUGAACGAUUCGUUCAUUUUGAACGAAUCUUUAAUGUGACUCGGGACGAAAGAGUCGCCUCGGGGAGUGAUUCGUUCAGUCGCGCAUGCGCAACAUCCUAUUAGGUUCUGUACCGGAAUUAGUUCACCUGUUUUAGAGUCGUUCGUUCACCUUAUGGGGCUGUCACGUGAUGAACGAACGACUCAAACCCGAAGACUCAAAAGAUGAACUAAUCAAUUCUCCUUCCGGCUCAGGCUGCAUAGGUUAACAUUACAGGGCUGUCACGUGAUGAACGAACGACUCAAACCCGAAGACUCAAAAGAUGAACUAAUCAAUUCUCUUUCCGGCUCAGGCUGCAUAGGUUAACAUUACGGGGAUGUCACGUGAUGAACGAACGACUCAAACCCGAGGACUCGAGAGAUGAACUAAUCAAUUCUCUUUCCGGCUCAGACUGCGUUGGUUAGCUAAUUGGGCUGUCACGUGAUGAACAAACAACUCCAAUCCGAAAACCUGUCAGAUAAGAGGCGAGGUGAGCGAAUCAUAGACUAAAGACCCAGGUAAACAAUGAAUGAAUCUUUUUUUGUUUCUUAUAGC